UGGUGGUGCAGAGAGUUUGAUCCUGGCUCAGAUUGAACGCUGGCGGCAGGCCUAACACAUGCAAGUCGAGCGGAUGAGAGGAGCUUGCUCCUUGAUUUAGCGGCGGACGGGUGAGUAAUGCCUAGGAAUCUGCCUGGUAGUGGGGGAUAACGUUCCGAAAGGAACGCUAAUACCGCAUACGUCCUACGGGAGAAAGCAGGGGACCUUCGGGCCUUGCGCUAUCAGAUGAGCCUAGGUCGGAUUAGCUAGUUGGUGAGGUAAUGGCUCACCAAGGCGACGAUCCGUAACUGGUCUGAGAGGAUGAUCAGUCACACUGGAACUGAGACACGGUCCAGACUCCUACGGGAGGCAGCAGUGGGGAAUAUUGGACAAUGGGCGAAAGCCUGAUCCAGCCAUGCCGCGUGUGUGAAGAAGGUCUUCGGAUUGUAAAGCACUUUAAGUUGGGAGGAAGGGCAUUAACCUAAUACGU
rnacentral:rRNA from 1 species